rnacentral:rRNA from 1 species
UACGUAGGGGGCUAGCGUUGCUCGGAAUCACUGGGCGUAAAGCGCACGUAGGCGGCUUCUUAAGUCAGGGGUGAAAUCCUGGAGCUCAACUCCAGAACUGCCUUUGAUACUGAGAAGCUUGAGUCCGGGAGAGGUGAGUGGAACUGCGAGUGUAGAGGUGAAAUUCGUAGAUAUUCGCAAGAACACCAGUGGCAAAGGCGGCUCACUGGCCCGGUACUGACGCUGAGGUGCGAAAGCGUGGGGAGCAAACAGG